AGUGAACGCUGGCGGCAGGCCUAAUACAUGCAAGUCGAACGGCAGCACAGCAGAGCUUGCUCUGUGGGUGGCGAGUGGCGGACGGGUGAGGAAUACAUGGGAAUCUGCCCAGUCGUGGGGAUAACGUAGGGAAACUUACGCUAAUACCGCAUGCGCCCUUCGGGGAAAGCUGGGGACCUUCGGGCCUGGCGCGAUUGGAUGAGCCAUGUCGGAUUAGCUAGUUGGCGGGUAAUGGCCCACCAAGGCGACGAUCCGUAGCUGGUCUGAGAGGAUGAUCAGCCACACUGGAACUGAGACACGGUCCAGACUCCUACGGGAGCAGCAGUAGGAAUAUUGGACAAUGGGCGCAAGCCUGAUCCAGCCAUGCCACGUGAGUGAAGAAGGCCCUCGGGGUU
rnacentral:rRNA from 1 species